UACGUAGGGGGCUAGCGUUGUCCGGAAUCAUUGGGCGUAAAGAGCGCGUAGGCGGCCAGAUAAGUCCGGUGUGAAAGUCACAGGCUCAACCUGUGAAUGCCGCUGGAAACUGUCUGGCUAGAGUCCGGGGAGGGGCGAGUGGAAUUCCUGGGUGUAGCGGUGAAAUGCGCAGAUAUCAGGAGGAACACCAAUGGCGAAGGCAGCUCGCUGGGACGUGACUGACGCUGAGGAGCGAAAGCAUGGGGGAGCGAACAGG
rnacentral:rRNA from 1 species